UGCACAGAGCAGUGUGACACUCCCGAAACGUUGGACUGCUAUUUUAGCAACCUCCUAAAUGAAGAGAGCCAACAGACAGACUGUCUGUGCCAGGCCAUAAUGUGCCAGGAGCCAAUGGGAUGCCGGGCUGUGCUCCAUGGACACCAAAGAAGUCAAAACUGCGUGAUUUCAGUCAACGUGCCAUUCAAGCCGGUCAUUUGAAUCUGAAACUCCAAGGCCUGUUUUCAAAGUUCUAGGCAAAGACUCUGUUGACCUGACUUAUCUGUGCAGCUUUAUUCAGGAGCUUUCCCCGGGAUCAAUUGACUACGGCUAGAAGAGCACUGCCCUGCAUACGUGUCUACAACACAUGUCAGUAGGUCAGGGGAUUUGAAGACCCACAAGGAGAGGGAUAAUGGACCUGGAAAAGUGCCUCUCCUGUGCUAUACGCCCUGGAGCUACUUCAACAAACAGAACAAACGCCAUCUCUGCACACACUGAGCUUCCGGCCUCGGAUGAGAAGGAGCAGAGGACAUGUCAACAAGCAGUGACAGUCAAGUGAGUGUCACAACAAGAGGACAACAUCCCAAAGGAUCGCACAGCGGCACCUGCACAAGGCAGGGUUUUCAGGGGAAGCAGCAUCUAAACUUGAAACUGAGGUUAGCCUGGUAGGCAGAGUCCACAAGACAGAACAGGGGUCCAGAGAAUGGAAGGAGGUGUCAGUGCCCAGUGCAUUUCAGCAGGGAAAGCCGGGGUGGGCAAAGGAAGGGAGAAGGGGGUGGAGGAGACGUGAGGACAAAUCAGACGGGCAUUGGGGAGUCAUGGUGAGACAGGAAUGAGGUUUGGGCUCUUUCCCUUUAUUUGACAUGCUUUUGGGGCAGAAACUCUUGCAUAUUACACGUGGCGUUAUUCUUUGCUCUAUAAUGAAUAAAUUAUAAAGGGCAUUUUUGUGUCUCUCGUGAGCUUACAUUGCUUAAAUUUUUUAGUCCUUAGUAUGCACAAGUGAAUUUCCCUGUGUCUGUGGUAGGUCCCAAAAAGUACUUCACUGCGUUUUCUUGAAAUUGACUCUUCUCUGAAAAGGUAAAAUAUGUGCCCACGGGAUUCCUAGAGCUUGGCCUACCAUUUCCUUUUCUUAUUUUAAAUUUUUGAUUCACUUAGUUCUAAAAUGCUGUUUCAUGAAAUCAUGUGUUC